rnacentral:snoRNA from 1 species
AUUUCAUAGAUGGAAAGAAAAACUGCAACAAUAUGCUGGUAAAUUCCAUGAUUCGUAGUAUUUCAGUCCCUGGUGAUU